UGGGGGAUAUUGGACAAUGGGGGAAACCCUGAUCCAGCGAUGCCGCGUGAGGGAAGAAGGUUUUCGGAUUGUAAACCUCUGUGGACAGGGACGAUAAUGACGGUACCUGUCAAGGAAGCCACGGCUAACUACGUGCCAGCAGCCGCGGUAAUACGUAGGUGGCGAGCGUUGUCCGGAAUUACUGGGUGUAAAGGGAGUGUAGGCGGGAAAGCAAGUCAGAAGUGAAAACUAUGGGCUCAACCCAUAGCCUGCUUUUGAAACUGUUUUUCUUGAGUGAAGUAGAGGCAAGCGGAAUUCCUAGUGUAGCGGUGAAAUGCGUAGAUAUUAGGAGGAACACCAGUGGCGAAGGCGGCUUGCUGGGCUUUUACUGACGCUGAGGCUCGAAAGCGUGGGGAGCAAACAGG
rnacentral:rRNA from 1 species